rnacentral:lncRNA from 1 species
AACUCCUGACCUCAAGUGAUCCGCCCACCUCGGCCUCCCAAAGUGCUGGGAUUACAGGCAUGAGCCACCGCUCCGGGCCCUUGCACAUAUUUUUUUAUGAACACACAGGCAGCAGCACUUUGAUUACAGUAACUUACAUGGAAGUUAUUUUAAAAUGGCUUUCCCCUUCUCUUUUUCAUGUAGGCUGCAUUUUUCAUCUGCAGCACGCUUUCUCUCAAGAAUCUCAAGCACACACAAGAAACCAGAGAGUAAAAUCACUGAGGCGUGAACACAUCCAGAGACCAAGGGCGUCACUGGCAGAAAAGCUUUUAGGCGGAUCCACGGCCCGAGAGCCACCCUGCCCAGAGACGCGGUUUCCUAGGAGCAGUUCACACGCGGCUCUGCAGCACCCACAAGCGGGGCCAGGGGCUGGUUUUCAUAGUUCACAGUCUGCAGGGAUCUUAACAAAAACAUGGCCGUGGUAAAAGUGCCUAGACCAGGCUUUCGUCACAACUCAUCAUGUUACUAGGUUAGGAUAAUAAAAAGGACUGUGAACUUCACAUCUGCCAUCUAUAAUAGAUUCUUAUUGUAGCAAUCUUGCACCAAGGGGAUUUCUUUAUUAACUCUGCCAAAUUUUCCAAAAUUACCAAAUGGAGAAAAGAGCUGGUCCCAUCUGUCACCAGGCACAACCAGCGCGAUACCUGACUUUCACCAUGAUGAAUGGAGACAGGAUGGGGUCUGAAUGCUAGUCUUCAAUGCACCAUACAACAGUGCUAGACCCUCAUCAGUAUGAAGGGGAACAAAGCCCUCCUUAAAAGAUUUACUAGAGUUAACACCUGGGGAUCCUCAAGAAAUGAAUGCUAUCAUUGUUCUGCUUCAGAAGUUUGGAACCAAAACUGCAGUGUCCCCAAGGCAUGCCUGUAGGUAAACAUGAGUCCAUACUGAUAAAUGAUCGAAUAAACAGGAGAGAAGAAACAAAUCUUCAAGAAGAAUAACAUGCACAGAUACUGCUCUCUCCAGGGGUUGGAGCUGAAACCUCCUCAACCCACAGAGUAUGGAAAGGGAAAAACAGGAACUUGACAGUGGAGAAAUCUGGCAGACACCACUGUGACCAGGUGGCCAAGGUCAGCACUGCCUGGGAUAGGUCGUGUGGUGGUUACAACCACCCAGUAGGAUGUGAUGAGAAAGGUGCUUGAGAAACACAUCAAACUCCAAUUGAGGGACAUUCUACAGACUACCUGGCCAGUACUCCUCAAAACUGUCAAGGUCAUGAGAAACAAGGGAAGUCUGAGAAACUGUCACAGGCAAGAGAACGCAAAGGAGAUGGGAUGACUAAAUGCAGUAUGUGCCUGGAUGGGACUCUGGGACAGAAAGCAGACAUUACGGAAAAACUGGU